rnacentral:rRNA from 1 species
CUACGGAGGGUGCAAGCGUUAUUCGGAAUCACUGGGCGUAAAGGACGCGUAGGCGGGUUGGCAAGUCAGAUGUGAAAUCCUACAGCUUAACUGUAGAACUGCAUUUGAAACUGCUAACCUAGAGUAUGAGAGGGGGAGAUGGAAUUAGUGGUGUAGGGGUAAAAUCCGUAGAUAUCACUAGGAAUACCGAAAGCGAAGGCGAUCUCCUGGAACAUAACUGACGCUAAGGCGUGAAAGCGUGGGGAGCAAACAGAAUUAGAAACCCCAGUAGUCC